AUUUAUUUACCUGUCAGCGCUGAGAGCAGUGAGAGUGAACACAGAAACCCCCACCGAGGUGAGCUGGAUGGCCGGGAUGAGUUUGCAGCCCAGCUUGCCGAACACCCAUUCAUCAAAGAAGUAACGGGAGGCGUCCACUGGAACGCAGCUUUGCUCUUCUCUCCACCGAUCCUGUGGUACAACUGUGUAGAACUGAAGGGUGGCCGAAUCUGUUUUCAUUCUGUGUGCCUUAUACAUCCAUCCUCAAGCGUCUCCAAGCAGGAAGUUUGUGAGCCUCUGAGGAUUGGAGAUCUGAGUUGGCAGGUCCCCAGUGCUCAAACACUGAAUUUAGCGAGCCAGCCAGGGACAAAGACUCCUCUCCACUCUAUUCUAUCAUCCUCUGACUACCUCCACCCCAAGUCUGGAAACUCUUUACUAUAGUUGAUGCAUCUUUAAACUUAUAUUUUAUUGUGAUUCAGCAUGUGUUAAGUGCACAUCUCUUAGAUGUAUGCUUUACUAUCAGGACAAACAGUCUAGUAAAAACCACCAUUAUGUCUUCCUUAGUUGGCUCUCUCCUUGGGAUAGACCUUUUCAGGAUGCAAUCAUCCUCUGACCUCGCCCCUCAUACAUCAGUGGGAAGUCCACAUGCUUUGAGAGGAGCAGAUUAUGUGUUAUUUUGGCUAUCUAGAAACAGAUUAACUGUUACCUAACCGUUCUCAUGUUCACUAACAUUUGCAAGUUUCCCAACUUUAGCUGAUUUAAAUGAAAUUUCCAUGAACAUUUUUGCACAUGGUUUCUGGUGCACAUACUUGCAUAAAUACCAGGCUUGAAUUUGCUAGACUCAGAGCUAAUGUAUAUGUUGUAAAACUUAGAGUUUUUUUUUUAAAUAUGAAUCGGCAACUUGUUUUUCCUUUCAUACUAGUGUGAUAUUAACACUAUCUGCAUGUGUGUAUGUAUGUAUAUGCGUGUAUACACAUAUGCCUAUAGUUAAUAAUGCCAGUCAUAAAUUUAGACACUUAAAAUCGAAUAUAUUCAUUUUCUGAAGUGUAAUGUUGUAUGACACCCAGGAUGGUCUUCAGUUCUUAUGCUCAGGUGAUUGAUUCUCUUGCUUCAGUUUCAGGUUUUUGGAACUAUAGGACCUAACCCUGCAGCCAAAUUGACAGUUUAAUAAUCUGUCAAGAGGAUUAACAUGACUUUCUGAAUAACCCCCACAUUGGAAUUUUACAACGAAAACACUGCUCAGGGUCAGUGAGUUAGCUUAGUGCAUAAAGCAGCUGUAGUGCAAGACAGACAGACUGAAGUCAUCCCUUGACCCAUGUAAGGUAUGGGAGGAGAAAAGCAACUGGGAGGUACCACUUCUGACUUCCACAGCAUAUCUGACAAAACAAGAACAAC
rnacentral:lncRNA from 1 species